rnacentral:tRNA from 1 species
GCCUAGGUGGCUCAGUCGGUUAAGCAUCUGACUUUGCUAAGGUCAUGAUCUCAUGGUUCAUGGGUUCAAGCCCCACUUUGGGCU